CCUACGGGAGGCAGCAGUGGGGAAUCUUGCGCAAUGGGCGAAAGCCUGACGCAGCAACGCCGCGUGCGGGAUGAAGGCCUUCGGGCUGUAAACCGCUUUCAGCAGGAACGAAAAUGACGGUACCUGCAGAAGAAGGAGCGGCCAACUACGUGCCAGCAGCCGCGGUGACACGUAGGCUCCAAGCGUUGUCCGGAUUUAUUGGGCGUAAAGAGCUCGUAGGCGGUCUAACAAGUCGGGUGUGAAAACUCUGGGCUCAACCCGGAGACGCCAUCCGAUACUGUUAUGACUUGAGUUCAGGAGGGGAGCGGGGAAUUCCUAGUGUAGCGGUGAAAUGCGCAGAUAUUAGGAGGAACACCGGUGGCGAAGGCGCCGCUCUGGACUGAAACUGACGCUGAGGAGCGAAAGCAUGGGUAGCAAACAGGAUUAGAUACCCUGGUAGUCCAUGCCGUAAACGGUGGGCACUAGGUGUGGGUUUCAACUAACGAAAUCCGCGCCGUCGCUAACGCAUUAAGUGCCCCGCCUGGGGAGUACGGUCGCAAGACUAAAACUCAAAGGAAUUGACGG
rnacentral:rRNA from 1 species